AUGAACGUUGGCGGCGUGGAUUAGGCAUGCAAGUCGAGCGCGAACCGUAGCAAUACGGGGAGAGCGGCGAAAGGGAGAGGAAUACGUGGAUACCUACCCUCAGGUUCAGGAUAGCUGUGGGAAACUACAGGUAAUACUGAAUAAUAUCUCCGGAUCAAAGGUGUGAUUCCACCUGAGGAGGGGUCCGCGUCCUAUUAGCUUGUUGGCGAGGUAACGGCUCACCAAGGCGAAGAUGGGUAUGGGAUGUGAGAGCAUGAUCCCACUCACUGGGACUGAGACACUGCCCAGACACCUACGGGUGGCUGCAGUCGAGAAUCUUCGGCAAUGGGGGAAACCCUGACCGAGCGACGCCGCGUGUGAGAUGAAGGCCUUCGGGUUGUAAAUCACUGUCAGAGGGGAGGAAAUGCUAGUGGGCUAUCCCAUUAGUUUGACCUAGCCUCAGAGGAAGGACGGGCUAAGUUCGU
rnacentral:rRNA from 1 species